rnacentral:snRNA from 1 species
GGACGUGAAGGCACUCUGGCUGUGACAUCUGUCACCCCAUUGAUCGCCAGGGUUGAUUCAGCUCAUCUGGCUGGCCACCCGGGUGUUCCCUUCCUCUCUCUCCACUCCAUGUGCUUCCCUCCUGAAGCUGCACACUCAGUGGAAGAGGACGGCCACCCCAAUAGAGGAGGACCAUUUCCUCAGUCAAGGGUAUACGAGCAGCUGUGCUCCCAGGCUAGAACCUCCACACAAGCUCUCAAGGUCCAUAAUGACGCCAUGCCACCUGCUCACAGCAUUGUCAUGUGGCUAA